rnacentral:lncRNA from 1 species
GUGGGAAUGAUUGUUUGUGGAAUCGAACUGUGCUUUCUUUGUUGUUUUUGUUUUCUGCUUUUUUUUUUUCGUUUAUCUGAUUAUAGAGAGAAAGAUUUUAAUUAUUCUUUGUUUGUUGGUUGUGUGUUAGGGUUGAGGAUGUCCGUGGAAGAAAGGCAACGGGGAGGACUUAAAGCAUGAUCACAUCAAAGUUUCUGUCUAUUAUUUC